rnacentral:rRNA from 1 species
GACGAACGCUGGCGGCGUGCUUAACACAUGCAAGUCGAACGGAAAGGCCCUGCUUUUGUGGGGUGCUCGAGUGGCGAACGGGUGAGUAACACGUGAGUAACCUGCCCUUGACUUUGGGAUAACUUCAGGAAACUGGGGCUAAUACCGGAUAGGAGCUCCUGCUGCAUGGUGGGGGUUGGAAAGUUUCGGCGGUUGGGGAUGGACUCGCGGCUUAUCAGCUUGUUGGUGGGGUAGUGGCUUACCAAGGCUUUGACGGGUAGCCGGCCUGAGAGGGUGACCGGCCACAUUGGGACUGAGAGACGGCCCAGACUCCUACGGGAGGCAGCAGUGGGGAAUAUUGCACAAUGGGCGGAAGCCUGAUGAAGCAACGCCGCGUGCGGGAUGACGGCCUUCGGGUUGUAAACCGCAUUCGCCUGUGACGAAGCGUGAGUGACGGUAAUGGGUAAAGAAGCACCGGCUAACUACGUG